CCACUUACCUGGCAGAGUAGAGACCGUGGUGACGAAGGGGGUUCUCCCAGAGUGAAGGUUCUUCAUCGCACUCUGGAGUUGCUGAUCCCUGUGAUUUCCUCAAUGUGGGAAACGGUGUUUGUGCUAGAAGAGGGCUGCCCUCUU
rnacentral:snRNA from 1 species